UAGAUGUUUCUGGAUGAGAUUAGCAUUCAAAUUCGUGGACUCAUUAAAGUAGAUGGCUCUCUCCAAUAUGGGUGGGCAUCAUCCAAUCUGUUGAAGGCGUGAAGAGAACAAGAGAAGGAGGAAGGAAGAAUUCACCUUUUUUCUUGCUGCCCACCUGCUUGGGCUGGGACAUUGCAUCUCACCUUCUCCAGCCUUUGGAUGAGGAUUUACACCCUGGUUCUCAGGCCUUCAGGCUCUAACUGGAGCUACACUAUCAACUUUCCUGGGCCUCCAGAUUGCAGAUGGUGGAUCACGGUACUUUUUAGCCUCCAUCAUAAUAUGAGAAAAAAGAGGCACAGUGAAGCUAAAUAUAUUGGCUAAAGAUCACAAAGCUAAGAAGAUUAUCAAGGUUAUCUGUGCUCAAUGUGUGCAUCUCAGAUCAGCAGCAUCAGCAUCACCUGGGAGCUUGUUAGAGCUGGAGACUCUCAGGCUCCACGGCAGACUUCCUGAAUCAGAAGCUACAAUUUAACAGGAUCCUCGGGUGAUCUGAAAAUGCAAUAAAGUUUGGGAAGCACUGCUGUUGGUCAUUAGACAAUCUAAUGAACUAAGACUUUUGCCGAGCAUCUGAGUUGAAAUUUUUCAAGAUGAAAAGUUGCUAAAGAAAGAGAAAGGGAAGCGGUUUGCUCCAGUAUUCCUCUUUCCACCUUCCCACUGACUGGGAAGCGGCGGUUAGCAGAGCCACAGUCUUGGAUUAGAGAUAAGAGGGACAUGUUGAGGAAGGUGGAGUCUCCCCCACAGCCCUGGACCAGUACGGAAUCCCUGUAUUCUAGGAUUUGGCAAGCUGUCCACUGAAACAUUAUUUUUCCCAGCCUUCUUUGCAGAGGUGGGGAAACUGAGGCAAAGGGUGUUUAAAUGGUCUGCCCAAAGUCACACAGCUAAGAAGCAGUGAUGGGAUAUGAAGUCAAACAGUCUUAAAAGCAAGCUAUCCUGUUGCAAAAUAG
rnacentral:lncRNA from 10 species